CAUAAGUCCGGCUCGUAGUGUUGUGCAGAUUGAGUUGAGGUAGAAGUAAAGUGGUCAUUUCCAGAGUAUAACUGAUCCUCGCUCUUUAUCGAAGAACUACUUGGCAUUGUUGGAUGGAAAAGGAGUUGCUGCUCGUCUUGCAGAUUGACCACCUGUGACAACGUUUCAAGAAAUACAGACUGUCAGUAUAUGCUGUGGGCUAGCUGUUGCAGAGAACCAAGCCUCUCGUGGUUAUAGUUAUACUCUACUAACUACUUAGAACUUGCUUACCUGCUGUUGCAGAGAAAAUAUGUGUGCGACACAGCCAUAUAUUGGAUCACGGAGCCUGGCCUGCGCCUCGUAUGACAUGGUGACUGCAGCCUCGCAGCGGUCACUUGCAGGGAGAUGCGUGAGGAUCUUUGAGGCAUUGCUUGCCCCAAAGACCUUAUGGAUGGCAGCAAAGUGUGCAGCCCCUUGCUCAUGGGAGAAGUAUGGGGCGAAUACACAGCCAUUGACACACUUCCUGCGCAGAAACUUGCACGCUCCACAGGGGUCCAUAAGGGAAACAUGAUUUUGAUUGGUCUGAUUGAUGUCCAUUUUCUAGAAAUGAAUGGAGAAGGACUGAAGCAAUCGAACCUUCAGGAAAAGUCCCCAAAAUCUUUCCUGUGUUCUUCGGUUCUUCCUCCUGCGAUUCCUACCGCUGGUGAUCUUGAAGCAGUCAAAGAACAACAUUUGGGUUCCUUCCAUUAUAACUUCGACUCUUCAUAUGUACCUUUGUUUUGUUGUCUGUUAGCUGGCAAAUAAAGGAUGACUGUCUAGGACAUGAUAACAUGUGUUACAAGUCUAGGACAAGAUAACAUGUGUUACAAGUUAGGUAAGUACUAUGUGUUACAAGUUAGUUUUGACCAUGUGACUAUUUUUGUUUCCAAAUUAGGUAAGUACAUAAGGCGGUAAUUAAGGGUAAAAAACUGAUUGAUUAUGAUUUAUGGUCGAGGCAAAAUUAACCUCUCUUUCAGCCUUAGCAAUUAAACUGAAUGGCCCGAUUUGUGAGUAUUUAUUCUGUAAACUCUGUAAGCUAUUUCUUGUGCUAUCACGCAGGGUUUUCAAGAA